GUGUCAGCAGCCGCGGUAAUACGAAGGCUGCAAGCGUUAUCCGGAUUUAUUGGGUUUAAAGGGUGCGUAGGCGGCCUUGUAAGUCAGUGGUGAAAUACGGCAGCUUAACUGUCGAGGUGCCAUUGAUACUGCAGGGCUAGAGUACAGAUGCCGUUGGCGGAAUGUGUCAUGUAGCGGUGAAAUGCAUAGAUAUGACACAGAACACCGAUUGCGAAGGCAGCUCACAAAACUGUAACUGACACUGAGGCUCGAAAGUGCGGGGAUCAAACAGGAUUAGAUACCCUGGUAGUCCGCACCGUAAACGAUGAUUACUCGUUGUCAGCGAUAUGACAGUUAGCGACCAAGCGAAAGCGAUAAGUAAUCCACCUGGGGAGUACGCCGGCAACGGUGAAACUCAAAGGAAUUGACGG
rnacentral:rRNA from 1 species